CAGCUGUAAAGCCUGGGAGAGGAAGGGUGGCCGCCCCGCCAGCAGAGAGCCGAAGGUGUUCCGUGGUCAGUGAGGGCUGGCACUGGCUCUGCACGAAGAUCUCCUCACCUCCCCAGCAGCUCCUGGCCAGCUCCCCACGGAGAGCCCAGGGCACUUGUCCCUGGAAACAGUCGUGCAGCCAUGCUUGGGCCAAAGCCCAUGAGGCCCCCAGAACCACGAAAGGCUACUCUACUGAGAGGCAUACUGUGAGAGAGGCCCACGGGUUUCCAAGCAUCCCUCUCACUCCACACACUCAUCUCCACGACCAGCUUUAAGUGCCACCUUGAGGCCUGGCUCCCUGUUUGGACUUCUCUGCACCUCCAGGAGCUCACUUCCCGUCGCAGCUGGAUGCCUUCUGCCCCAGGCUGCACCUUCUGUGGGACUGACCCCCGCAGGCACCUCCCCGGCAUCCUCCCGCCCCAGGCUGCAGCUUCUGUGGUACUGACCUUAAGACCCUGUCGGUUCCUCCUGAGAGCAGCAGGUCUCAGCCAGAUGCUGCGGGGAGGGAGGUAUUAGAGUCCACACCCAUACAGGGGUCCGGUCCAGCCCUGCUCUCCCUGGUCUCCAGGCAGGGCCCUCCCAGGGUGGACAUUAUUCCCCAUCUCUGCCUGGCCAGGGGGCUGCUGACCCACUGGUUCCAGAGUCUGAGCCUGUCCUGCACAAGUACCAUGGACAGGGGUCAGCCGGGCACUGAAGAGGAGUGGCAGAAUUGGGCAGGGCAAGGGCCCCAGCUGGCAAGCUAGAGUCAGGGCAAUUCCAACCAAGAAACUGCGGCAGGCCAGGUUCAGUGUCUCAAGCCUGUAAUCCCAGCACUUUGGGAGGCAGUGGGUGAAUCGCUUGAGCCCGGGAGUUUGAGACCAGCAUUGGCAACAUAGAGACACCCUAUCACUACAAGAAAAAAAAAAAAAAAAAAAAAA
rnacentral:antisense_RNA from 1 species